rnacentral:rRNA from 1 species
CACGUAGGCGGUCUGCUAAGUCGGGUGUGAAAGCCCUCGGCCCAACCGAGGAACAGCAUUCGAUACUGGCGGGCUAGAGGACAGGAGGGGUGAGCGGAACUCCUGGUGGAACGGUGAAAUGUGUAGAUAUCAGGAGGAACACCGGUGGCGAAAGCGGCUCACUGGCCUGUCUCUGACGCUGAGGUGCGAAAGCUAGGGUAGCGAACG